GCAUCGAUGAAANGACGCAGCGAAAUGCGAUAAGUAAUGUGAAUUGCAGAAUUCAGUGAAUCAUCGAAUCUUUGAACGCACAUUGCGCCCAUUAGUAUUCUAGUGGGGCAUGGCCUGGUUCGAGCGUCAUU
rnacentral:rRNA from 1 species